rnacentral:rRNA from 1 species
CCUACGGGAGGCAGCAGUGGGGAAUCUUCCGCAAUGGGCGAAAGCCUGACGGAGCAACGCCGCGUGAUCGAAUGAAGGCCUUCGGGUUGUAAAGAUCUGUUGACAGGGACGAAUAAGCAAUGCAAAUAGCUUUGUGUAUGACGGUACUUGUUUAGAAAGCUCCGGCUAACUACGUGCCAGCAGCCGCGGGAAUACGUAGGGAGCAAGCGUUGUCCGGAGUUACUGGGCGUAAAGGGCGGGUAGGUGGUCGCUUAAGUCAGGUGUGAAAACUUCGGGCGCAACCUGAAGACUGCACUUGAGACUGGCUGUCUUGAGGACAGUGGAGGUAGGUGGAAUUCGUGGUGUAGCGGUGAAAUGCGUAGAUAUUAGGAGGAACCCCAGUGGCGAAGGCGGCUUUCUGGACUGUGCCUGACACUGAGGCGCGAAAGCGUGGGUAGCGAACGGGAUUAGAUACCCCUGUAGUC